CGCUGGCGGCGUGCUUAACACAUGCAAGUCGAACGAGAAGAGAUGAGAAGCUUGCUUCUUAUCAAUUCGAGUGGCAAACGGGUGAGUAACGCGUAAGCAACCUGCCCUUCAGAUGGGGACAACAGCUGGAAACGGCUGCUAAUACCGAAUACGUUCUUUUUGUCGCAUGGCAGAGGGAAGAAAGGGAGGCUCUUCGGAGCUUUCGCUGAAGGAGGGGCUUGCGUCUGAUUAGCUAGUUGGAGGGGUAACGGCCCACCAAGGCGACGAUCAGUAGCCGGUCUGGGAGGAUGAACGGCCACAUUGGGACUGAGACACGGCCCAGACUCCUACGGGAGGCAGCAGUGGGGAAUCUUCCGCAAUGGACGAAAGUCUGACGGAGCAACGCCGCGUGAACGAUGACGGCCUUCGGGUUGUAAAGUUCUGUUAUACGGGACGAAUGGCGUAGCGGUCAAUACCCGUUACGAGUGACGGUACCGUAAGAGAAAGCCACGGCUAACUACGUG
rnacentral:rRNA from 1 species